ACUGAAUUAUGUAUAGGUAGCCGUUUCGCCGCCAAAAAUCAAGGUGACAAGGAAUAACAGCAGUGCAGAGUUUUAAAGAUGCUCUUUAUUUAAAUUUUCAAAAAACAAAAAUCCAAUAAAGUUAACGGUUUCCAAGACAUCACAACCGGUACGUCUUCGUGAGACACUGUGCAUAUUGUAUGAACGUACAGUGUAAUAGUGUUUCUGGGUUUUCUCGAUUACGCGU